rnacentral:tRNA from 1 species
GGAUGAUUGUCCGAGCGGUCGAAGGAGCACGACUCGAAAUCGUGUGAGGCUAACACCUCCAAGAGUUCGAAUCUCUUAUCAUCCG